GAUGAACGCUGGCGGCGUGCCUAAUACAUGCAAGUCGAGCGAACGGACGAGAAGCUUGCUUCUCUGAUGUUAGCGGCGGACGGGUGAGUAACACGUGGAUAACCUACCUAUAAGACUGGGAUAACUUCGGGAAACCGGAGCUAAUACCGGAUAAUAUUUUGAACCGCAUGGUUCAAAAGUGAAAGACGGUCUUGCUGUCACUUAUAGAUGGAUCCGCGCUGCAUUAGCUAGUUGGUAAGGUAACGGCUUACCAAGGCAACGAUGCAUAGCCGACCUGAGAGGGUGAUCGGCCACACUGGAACUGAGACACGGUCCAGACUCCUACGGGAGGCAGCAGUAGGGAAUCUUCCGCAAUGGGCGAAAGCCUGACGGAGCAACGCCGCGUGAGUGAUGAAGGUCUUCGGAUCGUAAAACUCUGUUAUUAGGGAAGAACAUAUGUGUAAGUAACUGUGCACAUCUUGACGGUACCUAAUCAGAAAGCCACGGCUAACUACGUGCCAGCAGCCGCGGUAAUACGUAGGUGGCAAGCAUUAUCCGGAAAUUAUUGGGCGUAAGCGCGCGUAGGCGGUUUUUUAGUCUGAUGUGAAAGCCCACGGCUCAACCGUGGAGGGUCAUUGGAAACUGGAAAACUUGAGUGCAGAAGAGGAAAGUGGAAUUCCAUGUGUAGCGGUGAAAUGCGCAGAGAUAUGGAGGAACACCAGUGGCGAAGGCGACUUUCUGGUCUGUAACUGACGCUGAUGUGCGAAAGCGUGGGGAUCAAACAGGAUUAGAUACCCUGGUAGUCCACGCCGUAAACGAUGAGUGCUAAGUGUUAGGGGGUUUCCGCCCCUUAGUGCUGCAGCUAACGCAUUAAGCACUCCGCCUGGGGAGUACGACCGCAAGGUUGAAACUCAAAGGAAUUGACGGGGACCCGCACAAGCGGUGGAGCAUGUGGUUUAAUUCGAAGCAACGCGAAGAACCUUACCAAAUCUUGACAUCCUUUGACAACUCUAGAGAUAGAGCUUUCCCCUUCGGGGGACAAAGUGACAGGUGGUGCAUGGUUGUCGUCAGCUCGUGUCGUGAGAUGUUGGGUUAAGUCCCGCAACGAGCGCAACCCUUAAGCUUAGUUGCCAUCAUUAAGUUGGGCACUCUAAGUUGACUGCCGGUGACAAACCGGAGGAAGGUGGGGAUGACGUCAAAUCAUCAUGCCCCUUAUGAUUUGGGCUACACACGUGCUACAAUGGACAAUACAAAGGGCAGCGAAACCGCGAGGUCAAGCAAAUCCCAUAAAGUUGUUCUCAGUUCGGAUUGUAGUCUGCAACUCGACUACAUGAAGCUGGAAUCGCUAGUAAUCGUAGAUCAGCAUGCUACGGUGAAUACGUUCCCGGGUCU
rnacentral:rRNA from 1 species